rnacentral:rRNA from 1 species
GAUGAACGCUAGCUACAGGCUUAACACAUGCAAGUCGAGGGGCAGCUAUGUUGGUUGCUUGCAACCGAUGAUGGCGACCGGCGCACGGGUGAGUAACGCGUAUCCAACCUACCCUUGUCCAUCGGAUAACCCGUCGAAAGGCGGCCUAACACGAUAUGCGGUUCACAGCAGGCAUCUAAGGUGAACGAAAUGUGAAGGAGAAGGAUGGGGAUGCGUCUGAUUAGCUUGUUGGCGGGUAACGGCCCACCAAGGCGACGAUCAGUAGGGGUUCUGAGAGGAAGGUCCCCCACAUUGGAACUGAGACACGGUCCAAACUCCUACGGGAGGCAGCAGUGAGGAAUAUUGGUCAAUGGACGGGAGUCUGAACCAGCCAAGUAGCGUGCAGGACGACGGCCCUAUGGGUUGUAAACUGCUUUUAUAGGGGGAUAAAGUGUGCCACGUGUGGCAUAUUGCAGGUACCCUAUGAAUAAGGACCGGCUAAUUCCGUG